AAUUUUGUUGACUUGUUUGGAUGAAGGGGCGAUGCCACGUCAGCAGGAUGAUAAACUGAUAAUGGGAUUGAAGAGGAACUGUUAUUACAGGGAACUUGCUGGUGCGGAGAAGAGCGGCAAACAAUGGCGGGAUCUUUGAAAAGCUUUUCUCCGAUGGCCAUGAUCAAUGCCGAUACUGAACUUCUGGUUCAAUUGCCUCAGAAUGAUUGCAAUUCUAGGGUUUUGGUACUCGGAGGCACCGGUCGGGUCGGAACCUCCAUUGCCAUUGCUCCCUUCAAGUUCUGUCACGACCUUCAGAUCGUCAUGGGCGGUCGCAACAGUGGAUUUCGAGCCUUUUCUAAAUUGUGAUGCAUAAUGAUAUAAGGUGCGGCGUGCUGUGAAACGGAAAAAGGUGCUGCUAUGGUUGCGACAGUUGGGAGAAACUCUCGAUUUGUUGAAGUCGAUGCUGAGAAUGUAAAAUCAUUGGAGGCUGCUUUGAGAGAUGUGGAUCCUGUAGUUCAUACUGCUGGGUUAUUCCAACAGACAGAGAAGUGCACCGUACUUGAAGCUUCCAUAAAUAUCCAGGAAAGAGCUGUUUGCAUUAAAAAUCUUGCUUUUAUGAUCAUCUAUUGACGACGUUCUUUGUCUAUCUGCUUACAGCCUACGUUGGUGUUUGUGAUGAUACAAACUAUUCACAGAAUGCAAAAGCUUUCAAGAAUAAAGCUAUGGAGGCAAACAUUCCAGCUAUUACAACUGCAUUUAUCCUGGAGUGAGCAAUGUAAUGGUGGCAGAGCUAGUACGUGCUGGAGAGAUGAAAGCAGGGGUGAUUCCGAUAGGCUAAAGAGAAGUCCCUGAUAAUCAUGCAACUAAUUCUACCUGCACUGCAGGCAAUGGUGGUGCUGGUCCAUCUAUAUUAGCUACUAGUUUCUUGCUGCUGGGAGAGAAGGUGGUCGCCUAUAAUAAAGGUGACGAGAAGGAAAGCCGUGUAGUUUAUGUAAGAAUGUGAUUUCUCUGGGCACAAACAUGAUUUUAGAGAAUUGCUUUCAACAAUGAAAACAGAAUACACCAUUUCUUUAAAAAACGAAGAGAACAAAAUCAGACCACAUAUAGUCAUCAGCAUGAAGAUCUGGAAUAGUACUUCGUCAGCCACAGAUCAAAUUCAACAUAAACGUAAAAAAGAGGGUACAUCGAACACACGAAAAUGUUAUGCAGAAAAUGCUCGGUGCCCAGUAUAAACACAAGAAAGAGAAAGCUUACCUUGAAAAAUUCUUCAUCGAGGGCUAUGGCAAGACUACAAUCCGCAAUAGCAUCAAUAACUUGGCCCUGAGCUUUGUAUGCAGCAGCCCGACUGUAGAAACAAAAAGCUGAGAAAGGACGUGACUCGACAUUGCACGCCAAAGCAGCUGUGUAGUGUUCAAUGGCUUCUGAAUUCCUUCCUGCCUGAAAUGCUUCAUUCCCAGCAUCCUGCACUCAUUUAAGGAGGAAAAAAAGGUAUGGGGAUAUAAUGCAAUUAUGAGACUAAAAGAUAUUAAGGCAUUAGAAAAUGAUAUAUGGAUAUGAUCAAGUUAUGGCUGAUAGGAUGGAGGAGCCUCUAAGGCAGUGGACUUAUGAUACCUUGUGACGUACGAGCUCCCUCAUGGCACUUCCUCCUCUUGCGUUAAAGAAGCCAGACCCUCCUCAAGUUUUCCCAGAAGGAAGUAGCACUUGAGAGUCAAGCGGCAUCGCCAAAUCCUAAAGUACAACUUCUUUGAGAUUUCAGAAGAAUCCAGAUUUGAGGUCUGACUGACAAUAUCUUCUGAAGGAGAAUUCUUUUCAGCGGAAUCUACGAAAGAAAAUCUGUUACCUGAGCAUUUUGCAAACCAUGCGAGGCUUCCACUACAAUUUUCCGGUCCACAUAGAUAUCAUUCCCAGGUUGCAGGCAUCUCUUGAAGAACUGUACCGCAUCGUCAAUUUCCCCAAGGCCAAGCUCUAAGGUACACUUUAUAAAAGCUGGGAUCUAUAGCAGCAGCCAUUGUACAGUCACUGAUUGCGUCUCGCAAUCUUCCAAGAGACAUUCUUGUUGCUGCACGAUUGCUGUAACAAAGCAUCAAAGCCCUGAGACAGC